rnacentral:sRNA from 1 species
GUUAUUCACAUACCAAGUAUCUUGACUUUAAUCAAUUGUUCGCAGGUUCGAGCCGAGCGAAACGAGACAGCAACGCGUUAGCGUUGACCCCGAAGGGGCGAGGCCGGAGGCCGAGUUAUCCUGCACGACCCACCA